AGUUCUAACCCUGUUAUCUCUAGGUAGGGCUGGGAAAGGCCUCUGUCUGAAACCCUGCAAAGCUGCUGCUGGACAAUGUAGCAUGGGCAGUUCUGAGCAAGAGGGAACAAUGGUCAGACUCAGUACAAGAGACCGAAAUAAAACUGACCCGAACUGGUGUUGUCUUAAUGCUACUUGGUGGAAAGAAACAACAGAGAGGACCAGCACUGAAUGGGAGACUACAUGUCGAUCAGAUGGGAAGGAAGCAUCUGGGCAGCUGGAGUCCCCAAACACCAUCACUCUGCCAUCUCAAUACCUUAGAAGCUGCUUCUGAAAGCUAGGAAUCUGUGAACAACUUUACUCAGCACACCCCUGCCGUGCUGCCCAUAUUCAAACAGCAAAAAACAAAAUAAAAUGCAACUCUCACUCAGGCUGUCACCGGGGAAGAGGCAAGGCUGUGGCAGAUGCAGCUGGGCUCCCCAACCCAAUCACAGCUUCUCCUCUGGUGCUCUCUGCUCCUCAUCAAUUACAAGGAAGAAGCACCAAGCCAGAGGGACAGGCAAGAACAACAGAGAGAGAG